GGUGGUGGGCGGCGAGGGCGAUGGCCGUGGUAAGUUGCUGUAUUUUUUUGAUGGAACCACUUUUGAUUUGUGCGGGAACCAGCGCGGCGGCGGCGACGACCACCAUGAUUUUUGCUACAACCGGCGACUACACCCGGCACGAGUGAUGGAACCGGGGAACAGACGAGCUGCAACCACAAGCUGACGAGCUACCACCGGCUUAUGUGGAUGCUACAACCGUUGCGGGGCAAGCUGCAAUCAGGAAAGGAGUUGUUACUACCUCGACCGGCAGGCGCGACGGCGGAGCACACGAGAUGCUACAACAGUUGAGGGAGGAGCUGCCACUGUGCCCGAUUUUUUGGUAACUGGUGAUCUUGGCGAGCUGCAGGGUAACCACGGUGAGUUUGUCCAGAGGGGCGGGGGAGUGCUUCAAUCACGACCAGGUUUGCUGGAACCAGCACGCAAAGAUGCUCCAACUAGAAUAUGUUCUUGUUGUACAAACGAUUUUUUGAUACAGCCACAAUUUUGUUUUGUUGGAACCAGUAUGCGAACAUGCUUCCACCGGAGUUUAAUUCUUUGCUGGAGCAGGGACUUUUGCUACAACCAUAGCUUCAAAUUGCUGGAACAAGGUUUUCAAAUGAUUCAACAGGGGUGGCGACACAAAGCUGCUUUUUGACAACUUUUUUUUGUUGCGACCAUUGACGACGAGCAUCAGCGACGAGCACGGCGGUGGCUGUCGACGGCGACAAAUGGGGGAGGGCGGCAGUGCGCUGCGUGACGCGGCGAUGGUGGGCGGCUGCCAUGACUUGCGGUGUUUUGUUCAGAUAUGAACGUGAACGGGGUAAGAAGGAAGAAGGUAACCUGGAUGGAUGAGGAUCCAACGUCUCGGAGUGGGCCAAUCGGGCGGUUGGCGUGCGAUCGGCCGAAACUUUGGGCCAGCGCGUCUGUGCUGAUCAGUCGCUUAUCCAACAAAUCACAUUCCGUCCAACUGCAUCUAUCCAACUGUCUAUGUCCCUCAGUUGCCUGAAGAACCAUGUCCAACUUUCAAUGCUCUCACUCUCCACAAAUGCAAAUGCCAAUGGGACUACUUGAUUUUGGUCGUCUAGACCAAUGGCGGUCAGGAUCUGACCCUUGUACUUACCAGUGGGAAAAGUGCCAUCUACACAUAUGAAAGCACAGAUAAGUUCAACAGUGGAGUGGCAAGGACAAGAUGACGUGCAACCCCUUCAAAAUGCUA